rnacentral:lncRNA from 1 species
CCUUUUGAGUGAGAUUUUGCAAAGAAUUGCUCUUUGGAGAGCACAGUACGAUGAAAGUUGUAAACCAUGUUCGGAGGGGAGUUAUUGUCUAUCGUUGUCCUCUAUGGUAGAAUCAGUCGGGGGACCUGAGAGGCGGUGGUUUACCCUGCGGUGGAUGCCAGCGGUUUGAGUCAGCUUAUCUCCAACUUAUGAACUUAGCCGAUACAAAGCUAAGCUCCAACUCGUGAGCUUAGCUGAUACAAAGCUUUGUGAUAGCACCUAAUUUUUCCAAUUCGGUGGUUCGAUCUAUGAUUUAUCAUUCAUGGACGUUGAUAAGAUCCAUCCAUUUAGCAGCACCUUAGGAUGGUAUAGCCUUAAAAGUUAAGGGCGAGGUUCAAAUGAGGAAAGGCUAACGGUGGAUACCUAGGCACCCAGAGACGAGGAAGGGAAGAGUAAUUGACGAAAUGCUUCGGGGAGUUAAAAAUAAGCAUAGAUCCAUAGAUUCCCGAAUAGGGCAAACUUUCGAACUACUACUGAAUCCAUGGGCAGGCAAAAGACAAACUGGCGAACUAAAACAUCUUUGUAGCCAGAGGAAAAGAAAGGAAAAGCAAUUCCCGUAGUAGCGGCGAGCGAAAUGGAAGCAGCCUAAACCGUGAAAACAGGGUUGUGGGAGAACAAUCUAAGCGUUGUGCUGCUAGGCAAAGCAACCUAAAUGUUGUACCCUAGAUGGCGAAAGUCCUGUAGCCGAAAGCAUCACUUGCCUACGCUCUGACCUGAGUAGCAUGGGGCACAUGGAAUCCCGUGUGAAUCAGCAUGGACCACCUUGCAAGGCUAAAUACUCGUGGGUGACCGAUAGCGAAGUAGUACCGUGAGGGAAAGGUGAAAAGAACCCCCAUCAGGGAGUGAAAUAGAACAUAAAACCGUAAGCUCCCAAGCAGUGGGAGGAUCCAGGGCUCUGACCGUGUGCCUAUUGAAGAAUGAGCCAGUGACUCAUAGGCAGUGGCUUGGUUAAGGGAACCCACCGGAGCCGUAGAGAAAGCGAGUCUUCAUAAGGCUAUUGUCGCUGCUUAUGGACCCGAACCUGGGUGAUCUAUCCAUGACAAGGAUGAAGCUUGGGUGAAACUAAGUGGAGGUCUGAACCGACUAAUGUUGAAGAAUCAGCGAAUGAGUUGUGGUUAGAGGUGAAAUACCACUCGAACCUAGAGCAAGCUGGUUCUCCCGAAAUGCCUUGAGGCACAGCAUUUGACUGGACAUCUAGGGGUAAAGCACUAUUUCGAUGUGGGCCACGAGAGCGGUACCAAAUUGAGGCAAACUCUGAAUACUAGGUAUGGCCUUAAAAUUAAAAAAGAGGGGUCAAAGUCGGCUAGUGAGAUNNNNNNNNNNNNNNNNNNNNNNNNNNNNNNNNNNNNNNNNNNNNNNNNNNNNNNNNNNNNNNNNNNNNNNNNNNNNNNNNNNNNNNNNNNNNNNNNNNNNNNNNNNNNNNNNNNNNNNNNNNNNNNNNNNNNNNNNNNNNNNNNNNNNNNNNNNNNNNNNNNNNNNNNNNNNNNNNNNNNNNNGCUAAGUGAUCUGCCAAAGCUGUGGGGUGAAAAAAUACAUUAGUAGGGGAGUAUUCUGCCUUAGAGGAAAUCCUCUGCGCGAGCGGUGGUGGAUAAAGAAGAAGCGAGAAUGUUGGCUUGAGUAACACAGAAAUUGGUGAGAAUCUAAUGCCCCAAAAAUGUAAGGGUUCCUCGGCAAUAUUCAUCCACUGAGGGUGAGUUAGGGCCUAAGAUCAGGCUGAAAGGGAUGGUCGAUCGACAAAAGGUGAAUAUUUCUGUACUACCCUUUGUUGGUCCCAAGGGAUGGAGGAGGCUAGGUUAGCCGAAAGAUAGUUAUUAGUUCAAGAACGUAAGGUGUCCCUGCCCCUUUUUUAGGGUAAAAAGGGGUAGAGAAAAUGCCUUGAGCCAACGUUCGAAUACCAAGCGCUACGGGGUUGAAGUAGCCCAUGCCAUACUCCUAGGAAAAGCUCGAACGACUUUAAGCAAGAGGGUACUUGUACCCGAAAACGACACAGGUGGGUAGGUAGAGAAUACCUCGGGGUGCGAGACAACUCUCUCUAAGGAACUUGGCAAAAUAGCCCCAUAACUUUGGGAGAAGGGGUGCCUCUUCACAUCAUAAAGGGGGUCAUAGUACCCAGGCCCGGGCGACUGUUUACCAAAAACACAGGGUCUCCGCAAAGUCAUAAGAGCAUGUAUGGGGGCUGACGCUUGCCUAGUGCGGAAGGUCAAGGAAGUUGGUGACCUGAUGACAGGGGAGCCAGCGACCGAAGCCCCAGUAAACAGAGACCAUAACUAUAACGGUCCUAAGGUAGCGAAAUUCCCUAUUGGGUAAGUUUUGACCCGCACAAAAGUCGUAAUGAUUUGGGCACUAUCUCGGAGAGAGGCUCUAUGAAAUAGACAUAUUUGUGAAGAAGCGGACUACCUGCACCUGGACAGAAAGACCCUAUGAAGCUUCACUGUUCCCUGGGAUUGGCUUUGGGCCUUUCCUGUACAGCUUAGGUGGAAGGCGAAGAAGGCCUCCUUCUGGGGGGACCGAGCCAUCAAUGAUAUAACACUCUGGAAGGGCUAGAAUUCUAACCUUGUGUCAGGACCUAUGGGCUAAGGGACAGUCUCAGGUAGACAGUUUCUAUGGGGCGUAGGCCUCCCAAAAGUUAACGGAGGCGUGAAAAUGUUUCCUUGGGCCGGACGGAGAUUGGCCAUCAAGUACAAAGGUAGAAGGGAGCUUGACUACAAGACCCACCCGUCGAGCAGAGACGAAAGUCGGCCUUAUUGAUCUGACGGUUCUGAGUGGAAGGUUCGUCGCUCAACGGAUAAAAGUUAAUCUAGGGAUAACUGGCUGAUCUUCCCUAAGAGCUCACAUCGAUGUCGGCUCUUCGCCACCUGGGGCUGUAGUAUGUUCCAAGGGUUGGGUUGUUCGCCCAUUAAAGUGGUACGUGAGCUGGGUUAAAAGGUCGUGAGACAGGUUGGUCCAUAUCUGGUAUGGGCGUUAGAGCAUUGAGAGGACCUUUCCCUAGUAUGAGAGGACCGAGAAGGAUGCACCUCUGGUGUACCAGUUAUUCUGCCCACGGUAAAUGCUGGGUAGCCAAGUGCGGUGGACAACUGCUGAAAUCAUCUAAGUAGUAAGCCCACCCCAAGAUGAGUGCUCUCCUUUUUUGACUUCCCCAGAGCUUUCGGUAGCACAACCGAGACAGCGACGGGUUCUCUGCCCCUAUGGGGAUGGAGCGACAAAAGUUUUUUUGAGAAUUCAAGAGAAGGUCACGGCGAGAUGAGCCAUUUUUCAUUACGAUAGGUAUCAAGUGGAUGUGCAGUGAUGUAUGCAGCUGAGGUAUCCUAAUAGAUCGGUAGACUUGAACCUUGUUCCUACAUGACCUGAUCAAUUCGAUCAGGCACUCUCCAUCUAUUUUCAUUGUUCAAAUCUUUGACAACAUGAAAAAACCAAAAGCUCUGCCCCCCUUUCUAUCUAUCCAAGGGAUGGAAGGGCAGAGGCCUUUAGUGUCCCCUCCAAUCACUAAUUGGGGCCUCACAAUCACUAGCCAAUAUGGCUUUCUCUCAUGCCUUUCUUCAUUCAUGGUUUGAUAUUCUGGUGUCCUAGGCGUAGAGGAACCACACCAAUCCAUCCCAAACUUGGUGGUUAAACUCUACUGCGGUGACAAUGCUGUAGGGGAGGUCCUAUAGAAAAAUAGCUCAAUGCCAGGAUGAUAAAAAUCUUAACGCCUCUCAUUCUUAUUCAAUAUGAAAACGAAAAAAAAAUGAAAAAUCAAAAGGUCAUUUUAUUCAAAACCCCAAUUGUGACAUCUCUUAUCUCCCACUUCACACCUCGGAGCGCACCCUUCUUGUAGAUAUAAAUGCGCUUUCACAUCUUCUUAACCCAAAAUGGCUGGGGAGAGAAAAGGUUCCUUUUUUUAGGGUACUCCGGGGAACAGAUCCAGUGGAGACAAUGUGGGGCCUGUAGCUCAAAGGAUUAGAGCACGUGGCUAUGAACCACGGUAUCGAGGGUUCGAAUCCCUCAUCGCCCAUAACCGGCCCAAAAGGGAAGUACCUUUCCUUCUGGGGGUAGGAAAAUCAUGAUCGAGAUAGCGAACCAAAAGCUAUGGAUCUUAGGUGUGGGUGUUUUGUCGAAAUGGAAUGGCUUUUCUUUUUCUCUUUUUAUUUAUCGUGAAUGAGGGAAUCAUUACACAUAGUAUGCCCAAUCGGCAUAUUUUUUUGUUUUAUGCCCCGUAACUCUUCCUCAACCAGGCUUGGGAAAAAUAGAAGAGCAAGUAUUAGUAGCAUAACAAAAAAUCCUUCCUCGUCAUUAAUAUCUUUGCUCGCGGCAAUUGUGACCUCUCGGGAGAAUCGAUGACUGCAUCAAAGAUACAGUGCUAGUACAUCUGAGACUUCUUAAUUGGCUAGUUGUAAAUAGCCCCACCCCAGGGCUAUGGAACAAAGGAUUAUCUCAGACCUACACCAAGGUAUUGAUGGUGAUUUUCUAAUCUCGUAGAAUAGAAUGUGAUACAAUGAGAUAGAAUGAUAUACAAACAGAGGGAACGAGUUACCUACUGUUAACGGGCAAAACGAGCCCCUUUAUUCUGAAUUCUUUAAUUCAUAAUCAAUCAAAUCUCCCCAAGUAGGAUUCGAACCUACGACCAAUCGGUUAACAGCCCACCGCUCUACCACUGAUCUACUGAAGAACAACAGGAGAUUCGAUCUCAUAGAGUUCAAUUCCUGUUCCCAACCCAUAACCAAUAUGAGCUCGAAGCUUCCUUCGUAACUCCCGGAACUUCUUUGUAGUGGCUCCCUUACAUGCCUCAUUUCAGAGGGAACCUCAAAGUGGCUCUAUUUCAUUAUAUUCCAUCCAUAUCCCAAUUCCAUUCAUUUAAUAUCCCUUUGGUCUCAUUGACAUAACAGAUGUCAUUUCUAGUCUAUCUCUUUCUAUUUAUUUUCUAUAUAUGGAAAGUGAAAAAAUCAUUGUAUAAUAAUCCAGAAAUUACAAUAGAAAAAGAAAUAAGGGAGAUUUGUGAUGAUUUUUCAAUCUUUUUUACUAGGUAAUCUAGUAUCCUUAUGCAUAAAGAUAAUCAAUUCGAUUUUUGUAGUCGGACUCUAUUAUGGAUUUCUGACCACAUUUUCCAUAGGGCCCUCUUAUCUCUUCCUUCUUCGAGCUCUGGUUAUGGAAGAAGGAACCGAGAAGAAGGUAUUAGCAAUAACUGGUUUUAUUACGGGACAACUCAUGAUGUUCGUAUCGAUCUAUUAUGUGCCUCUGCAUCUAGCAUUGGGUAGACCUCAUACAAUAACUGUCCUAGCUCUACCAUAUCUUUUGUUUCAUUUCUUCUGGAACAAUCACAAACACUUUUUCUAUUAUGGAUCUACUACAAAAUUCAAUGCAUAAUCUUAGCAUUCAAUGUGUAUUCCUGAAUAAUCUCAUUUUUCAAUUAUUCAACCAUUUCAUUUUACCAAGUUCAAUGUUAGCCAAGAUUAGUCACAUUUAUCUCUUUUGAUGCAACAACAAGAUCUUAUUUGUAACAAGUGGUUUUGUUGGUUGGUUAAUUGGUCAUAUUUUAUUCAUGAAAUGGCUUGGAUUGGUAUUAGUAUGGAUAUGGCAAAAUUAUUCUAUUAGAUCGACUAAGUACAUUCGAUCUAAUAAGUACAUUCAAUAUAAAUACCUUGUGUUAGAAUUGAGAAAUUCUAUGGCUCGGAUCUUUAGUAUUCUCUUAUUUAUUACCUGUGUCUACUAUUUAGGCAGAAUACCCUCACCCAUUCUUACUAAGAAACUGAAAGAAGCUAAGAAACUGAAAGAGGCCUCAAAAACAGAAGAAAGGGAGGAAAGUGAGGAAGAAAGAGAUGUAGAAACUGCUUCCGAAAUGAAGGGGACUAAACAGGAACAAGAGGGAUCCACUGAAGAAGAUCCUUAUCCUUCUCCUUCCCUUUUUCAAGAGGGAUCCACUGAAGAAGAUCCUUAUCCUUCUCCUUCCCUUUUUCAAGAGGGAUCCACUGAAGAAGAUCCUUAUCCUUCUCCUUCCCCUUUUUCGGAAGAAGGGUCGGAUCCGGACAAAAUCGAUGAAACGGAAGAAAUUCGAGUGAAUGGAAAGGACAAAAUAAAGGAUAAAUUCCACUCUCACCUUACAGAGAGAGGCUAUAAAAAUAUUAAUACUAGUAAUUGUGAAAUUUAUGAUAAAAAAGAUUCUUAUCUGAAUUUGAUUCAAAAAUCAAAAAGUAGAAAAAAGUAAGUAAUAAACUAAUAAAAAGACGGAAACAUAAGCUAAAUACAAGAAGAGAUAAGAAGAGAUGCGUCCGCCCCCUAUAUAUUUGAUACCUUCUCCUACAAUGAAACUAAUAACCCCAACCCCGUUAGUCAUCCCAUCAAUUACUCGUCGAUCAAAAAAAUGAGUAAAUUCAGCUAAGCCUCUUAUCCCACCAACUAAGAAUCUUGUAUAAAAAGCAUCUAUGUAAGCACGAUUAUAUGACCAAUCAUAUAUGCCAUUUAUAAUUUUGUCCCACAGAAUUCUCUUAGGACCCUUUUUAACAAAAAAAUUAAUUAACUCCAAAUUUUUUAAAGAAGAAUAAAUGGGUUUAUAUAAAAAGGAUGCUAUAAAUAUUCCGAAAUAAGCUAUACUGACUGAAAGAACCGCAUCCUUUAAAAAUUCAUUCCAAUCCAUCGAAUUAUUCGACUUUUGAUGCAAAAGAUUUAUAGAUGGAGCUAACCAUUUCGAUAAUAUAUCCAAAUUAACUCCAUCUUGGUUGAAAGGAAUUCCUAUCGAUCCAACAAACAAAGUAAAGAGUCCUAAUACAAAUAUUGGGAAUAGCAUAGUAUUGUCCGAUUCAUAAGGAUAGGAAUAAACCGCUUUAUGCUCAAAAUGAGCAAUAGUCAUAAAAGGUCGUGUCAUCUUUCUUUCAUUUUUAUCAAUUGGAUAUUUAGUCUUUGAAAAAAAAUAAGUACUUUCAUUAUUAUUCAUUGUUAAUAAACAAGAGUUUUUCUUAAUUCCGUUUUUACCCCAUAGAGAUAUUGAAUAGAAAGGGGUUUUGUGUUUCCCACCAUAAUUUUGAAAAUGAACGUUUAAAUGCCCUUCAAAAGUAAGUAAAUAGAUCCGAAACAUAUAAAAUGCGGUUAAUCCCGCCGUGACCCAAGCUAUUAUUGAAAAAAUUGGCGAAUACAACCAACUAUCAUUAAGAAUUUCAUCUUUGGACCAAAAACAAGCAAGAGGUAGAAUACAACAAAGAGAAAGUGUACCUAAUAAAAAUGUGAUUUUUGCAAUUGGUGCAUGUUUUCUUAAACCUCCCAUAAAACCCAUAUUUUGGCUUUUAGCUGGAGAAUAUCCAACAAUAGUUUCCAUUGAAUGAAUAAUGGAUCCGGAUCCUAAAAAUAAUAAUGCUUUGGAAUAAGCAUGAGUGAUCAAAUGAAAUAAAGCGCUUCGAUAAAACCCCAUACCUAGAUCUAACAUCAUAUAACCCAAUUGAGACAUUGUAGAAUAGGCUAAAGCUCUCUUAAUGUCUUUUUGAGCAAGAGCUAACGUAGCUCCUAAUAAUACUAUUAUUAUUCCUAUAAUCGAGAUCAAAUACAUUAUCUAAGGUAUAACUCUGAAAAGAGUAAGAAGCCGAGAUAUAAGAAAAAUCCCUGCCACUAACAUAGUAGCAGCAUGUAUAAGAGCCGAAAUAGGAGUAGGCCCCUCCAUGGCAUCAGGUAACCAUACAUGAUGGGGGAAUUGGGCGGAUUUAGCAACUGCACCAACAAAUAAGAGAACAACGCAUAAAGUAACAAAUAAAAUAUUAACCUCAAUUAUUAUAAAUCAAGUUAUUGAAUAUUUUGAAUAAAUCCCUAAAUUCGAAACUCCCCGUUAUCCAAUAAAAACCUAAAAUUCCUAAUAAUAAACCAAAAUCCCCAACACGAUUAGUUACAAAGGCUUUUUGACAAGCAUUUGCCGCAACAGGUCGUGUAAACCAAAAUCCUAUUAAUAGAUAGGAACACAGACCAACCAAUUCCCAAAAAAUAUAAAUUUGUAUCAAAUUCGAACUAGUAACUAAUCCCAACAUGGAAGUACUGAAAAAACUCAUAUAAGCAAAAAAUCUCAAAUAGCCUUGAUCAUGAGCCAUAUAAUUAUCACUAUAAAUAAGAACCAUAAUCCCAACAGUAGUGAUUAAUAUUAACAUAAUAGAAGUAAGUGGGUCGAUCAAGUAUCCGAAGUCUAAAGAAAAAUCAUUAUUAAUGAUCCAAGACCAUACAUAUUGAGAAAAAGAACUGCUAUUUAUUUGCUGAAUAGACAGGUAGAUUGAAAAAAUCAUGACUAUGCUUAACAAUAAAACACUUUGAAAAGCCCACAUACGGCGAAAACUUUUUGUUGCCGUUGGAAAAAGAAUAAGUCCCGCUCCUAUUAACAUAGGGACUGGAAGUGGAAUGAAAGGUAUGAUCCACGCAUAUUCAUAUGUCUGUUCCAUAAAAAAGUUUUGAAUUCUUAAUUAAUUGUUUCCGAUUCACCGGAUCUUACCUCUUUUGAAAGGAGUCAAUAAAAAGUAAAAAUAUGGACUAACUUAAACUAAAUUAAAACUUAAAUCGAAUUUUCUAUUCUUAUCUUUUGCCUAUCUCGAUAAUGUUUUAUUUUAGUAUUAUAAAUUGCGUAUUAUAAAGAAUUCAUUUUGAACAAUAGAUGUAUUUCACAUCUAACUAUAACUAACAAUGAGGAAUUUUAUAAUGGCAGUUCCAAAAAAACGCACUUCGAGAUCAAAAAAACGUAUUCGUAAAAAUAUUUGGAAAAGGAAGACAUAUUGGAUAGCAUUAAAGGCUUUUUCGUUAGCGAAAGCUAUUUCUACUGGGGAGUCAAAAAGUUUUUUUUUUGGUACGCCAAACAAAAAUAAAUAAGUAAUAAAACGUUAGAAUAAUUUGAAUCAACUUGAAAAAAUAAUUCAAUAUAUUCUAAAAUUAUUCAAUUAUUAUCUAAUUGAAUAAUUUUAGGAUUUACCUUUCAUAAUAGAAUUAGGAAAUCCUAUAUUUACUAUUCACUGAAUAAUAACUUUUUUGUUGACAAAAGAAUAAAGAUCGUUUCUAUUCCAAGGUGGGGAGUUUGAUUUUCCCCACCGACCUAUUUGUUUGCAGAAUUAAAUUAAAAAAAAAAUUCUAUAUUUCGAUUCUAUUUCCAUCUCUCCAUAUCUAGAGAAGAACGUAUAUAAAAAUCUUUAGUGAAAGUUAAGAACUCAUUGAAACUAAUUGAUUCUAUUGAUUAGUGAGCUAAUCAAUAUGUAAUGGAACUCUAUUCGCUUUUUUGAUUGAUAUAGAAAAUAAUAGAAUUAGGAAAUCCUAUAUUUACUUAACUGAAUAAUAACUUUUUUAUUGACAAAAGAAUAAAGAUCGUUUCUAUUCCAAGAUGGGGGGUUUGAUUUUCCCCACCGACCUAUUUGUUUGCAGAAUUAAAUUAAAAAAAAAUUCUAUAUUUCGAUUCUAUUUCCAUCUCUCCAUAUCUAGAGAAGAACGUAUAUAAAAAUCUUUAGUGAAAGUUAAGAACUCAUUGAAACUAAUUGAUUCUAUUUUGCAACCUUUGUGUUUUGUCUAACUUUAUAACUUUUUAUUUUCUCUGAAUUAUUAUAUAGACCCCAUGUAUAUCUUGCCCUUAACCCAAUAGAGAAAAUUUCUUAAUGAAAUUUUGUAUGACUAAUUGUCAAUUUUGAGCGAUGCAAAAUAGGUUCUUUUCUUUUUAUUUUGUCGUCAAAAUAUCUUUUUUGUUUUAGAUUUAUGAAAAACAAAUAAAUGAUAAAUUGUUGAUUAAACAAUGAAAGAAAAAACUUUUUGAACUCUAUUCCUUAAUUGAAUAUAGAAUGGUUUAGUUACAAGAGUUCAAUUCACGGAAAGCAUAAAAUAUAGGAAAGUUCCAAGUUAAAUAAAAAAAAUAAGACUCUAAACUCAAAUCUAAAAUAAUGAACCUUCAACCUCCAAUUCCUAUUUGAAUAACCUUUUAUUGUUAUUAAUCCAUUUGAAUCAUUACUAAACUAAAAUAGCUUACUCAAUCUCAACGAUUGCUUAUUCAUAGGCUAUUAUGAGUUCAAGAUAGGCUGCUAUGGUGAUAUUGGUAGACACGCUGCUCUUUGGAAGCAGUGCUAAUGCAUCUCGGUUUGAGUCCGAGUGGCGGCAUACCGUCUUCUAAAACGCAUAAAUAGAUCUUAUAAUGAAUUCAAUUCCCGAUUUCCAUUUUAGAAUUAUGUAAUUAGAGAACUCUUUUUUUUAAGAUUUUUAUGAUAUUUUCAAGCUAAGAGCAUAUAUUUACUCACAUUUCCUUUUCGACCAUUUCAAUUGUAAUUACAAUUCAUUUGAUAACCUUUUUAGUGGAUGAAAUCGUAAAGUUAUAUGAUUCGUCAGAAAAGGGCAUAAUAGUUACUUUUUUCUGUAUAACAGGAUUAUUAGUUACUCAUUGGAUUUCUUCGGGACAUUUUCCACUAAGAGAUUUGUAUGAAUCAUUAAUUUUCAUUUCAUGGAGCUUCUCCCUUAUUCAUAUACUUUCAUAUUUCAAAAAAAUAUUUUAAUUUUAGGUAAAAUAAUGGGGCCAAGUGCUAUUUUUACCCACGGCUUUGCUACUUCAGGCAUUUUAACUGAAAUACACCAAUCAGGAAUAUUAGUACCUGCUCUUCAAUCUGAGUGGUUAAUAAUGUUCGUAAGUAUGAUGAUCUUGUGCUAUGCAGCCCUUUUAUGUGGAUCGUUAUUAUCAGUAGGACUUCUAGUGAUUACAUUUCAAAAAAACAUAAAGCUUUUUUAUAAGAGCAAUGGUUUUUUAAACGAGUCAUUUUUCUUGGGUGAAAAUGUUUUAGAAAAUACUUUUUUUUUUAUGCCAAAAAUUAUUACAGGUCCCAAUGGAUUCAACAAUUGGAUUAUUGGAGUUUUCGGGUUAUUAGUUUAGGAUUUACUUUUUUAACCAUAGGAAUCCUUUCGGGAGCGGUAUGGGCUAAUGAAGCGUGGGGGUCGUAUUGGAACUGGGACCCAAAAGAAACUUUGGCAUUUAUUACUUGGAUAAUAUUUGCAAUUUAUUUACAUACUCGAACACAGAGAAAUUUGCGCGGUGCAAAUUCUGCAAUUGUUGCGUCUAUAGGCUUUCUUAUAAUUUGGAUAUGCUAUUUUGGGGUCAAUUUAUUAGGAAUAGGGUUACAUAGUUGUUGUUCUUUUCCAUCAAAUCAUCAAUACAAUAUUUGAUUCACACGGUUUUCUACCAUAUGUAGUUCAAUUUCAUUGUUUUUACUUAACUUAAGAGUUAAGAGAAGAAAAAAAGAAGACUUUUUUUCAUUGUCCAAGAAUGGUUUUAAAAACAAACAUAGGUUUUUUUAUUUCAGUCAUCCAAAUUAUCUAUAAAAAAAAUUAGAUAGAAUAACUUCGACCUUGUCAAUUGCUAAUGAAAGAACGAAAUCGGGGUAUAUACCAAUACCUAUUACGGGUAAAAAGAUGGAGAUCGAAAGAAAUAACUCUCGGGGUCCAGAAUCAAAAAAAGAAUCCUUCGGGGCAUUAAAUAGCUUGUAUCCAUAGAACAUCUGGCGUGACAUAGAUAAUGAAUAAAUAGGAGUUAAUAUCAUUCCAAUUGCCAUUACAAAAGUAAUUAGUAGUUUUGGAAUUAAAAGAUAUUUUUGGCCGGUAAUUAUUCCAAAAAAUACUAUCAAUUCGGCAACAAAACCACUCAUACCUGGUAAUGCAAGGGAAGCCAUCGAAAAGCUACUGAACAUCGUGAACAUUUUUGGCAUUGGAAUAGCUAUUCCGCCCAUUUCGUCAAGAUAAACAAGGCGGAUUCUAUCAUAAGUCGUUCCCGCCAAGAAAAAAAGUGCAGCACCAAUAAAUCCAUGAGAGAUUAUUUGUAAAAGGGCUCCAUUAAGUCCCGUAUCGGUUAGAGAACUAAUUCCUAUAAUUAUGAAACCCAUAUGAGAGACAGAGGAAUAGGCUAUUCUUUUUUUUAAAUUCCGUUGGCCAAGAGAUGUUGAAGCUGCAUAGAUUAUUUGUAUUGUACCUAUUAUCAUCAACCAAGGAGAAAAUAUAGAAUGGGCAUGAGGUAAUAAUUCCAUAUUGAUUCUAAUUAAUCCAUACGCUCCCAUUUUUAAUAAGAUUCCGGCUAGAAGCAUACAAGUACUGUAAUGUGCUUCUCCAUGGGUAUCUGGUAACCAUGUGUGUAGGGGGAUAAUGGGCGAUUUGACAGCAAAAGCAAUAAAAAAUCCAAUAUAGAAGAUUAUUUCUAAAACCACAGGAUAUGACUGAUUAACUGAUGUUUCAAAAUUUAAUGUUGGUUCAUUAGAACCAUAUAAAGCAACACCCAAAACUCCCAUUAAGAGAAAAACAGAACCCCCCGCCGUGUACAAAAUAAAUUUUAUAGCUGAGUGCAGACAUUUCCUUCCUCCCCACAUGGCUAGAAGUAGAUAAACAUGAAUUAAUUCUAACUCCCACAUGAUGAAAAAAAGUAAAACGUUCCGAGAUGAAAAUGAUCUAAUUUGGCCACUGUACAUUGCUAACAUGAGAAAAUGGAAUUAUCGAGAAUCUCGAGUAACUGGCCAAGCCGCCAAAGUCGCUAAGGUAGUGAUAAAUCCUGUUAAUAAAAUGGGUCCUAUAGAAAGUCCAUCUAUUCCUAAUUUCCAAUGGAAAUCAAAAAAAUCGAUCCAUUUAUAAUCCUCCACUAGUUGUAUUAAUGGAUCAUCUGAUUGGAAAUGAUAACAAAAUGCAUAAGUCGUUAGAAGGAGUUCUAAAAUACAUAUACAUAGAUUAUACCACCUAAUUACCCGAUUUCCUUUCUUGGGAAGAAAGAAUAUUAAAGAACACGCAAAUAUCAGAAAAACAACAAUUAUUGUUAACGAAGGAAAAUAAUUCGUAGUAAAAAACCUGUGCUCAAAAUAUUUUUAUUUUCGAGCACAGAUUUGUUGGUAAAAAAAAUUAAAUGGAUUCGAGUAGAGUUUUCUCGAACGUAUCAAUAAGCUAGACCCAUACUGCGAGUUAUUUCAGGCCAUAAAUAAACUCGGACACUCAAGAAGUCUAUUGGACAAACGGAUUCAUAUCUCUUACAACCAACACAGUCCUCUGUUCACAGAGCAGAAGCAAUUUGUUUAGCCUUACAACCAUCCCAAGGUAUUAUUUGUAAUACAUCGGUGGGGCAGGAUCGGACACAUUGAGUACAUCCUAUACACGUGUCAUAAAUCUUUACUGAAUGUGACAUUUGGUCUAUACGUUUUUGAAUGUUAUAAAUUUUUGAUCUAGUAAACUUAGAAAUUAAUCAUAUAUUUAGAUACCAGACGAAUCAAUAAGUUAUCAUAAUUUUCUAAUCAACCCCCUUCGAGAUUGGUUUAUGAAAUAUGAGAGAGGCCAAAAUACUUAUAUUUCUUAUGUUUUGCAAACAAGAUCAUACCUUACGUAGCAAACAUGCUAAUUAAAAUCGAUUUAUCAAUAUUAGAAUCGAGAUGAUUAAUACUAAUUAUUCAACAAAUUUGAUUGGUUGAUAUGAGUUGAUUUUCUAUUACGGUAAAUUGAUGAAACAAUAGCCAGUCCAAUGGCUGCUUCAGCAGCUGCAAUAGCUAUAACAAAAAUUGAGAAAAUGUCUCCUUUUAAUUGACGAUUAUCAAAAAAAUCAGAAAAUGUUACAAAAUUUAUAUUAACCGCAUUCAAUAUAAGUUCAAGACACAUAAGGGCUCUAACCAUAUUUCGACUUGUGAUCAAUCCAUAGAUACCGAUAGAAAAUAAAUAGGCACUCAAAACAAGUACAUGCUCGAGAAUCAUUAAACAACUCCUUAUCAAUCUCGACUCCUUUCAAUAUGAACAACAAUUCAACCAAUUUAAUUGACUAGUAUAUAACAAGUAUGGAACAACGAAAUAUAUUGGUACUAGAUUGACCUAAAGUCUUUCUAUUUAUACAGCUGAAAUUCAAAUAUAAUUGAAGGAAAAUGAAUGUGAUAAGACAGAACAAAAUUUUAUUUGAAUUCCAAGUUUUAAUAGAAAUUUUUUAUUGCCGAGCUACAGCAAUUGCACCUAUUAAAGCAACUAAAAGGAUUAUUGAAAUAAGUUCAAAUGGAAGAAAAAAAUCUGUUGAUAAAUGAAUUCCAAUUUGUUGACUAUUACUUAGAAAAUCUUGCUCUAUAAUCUGGUUUGAUCUUGUAGUCCAAAUAAUACCGUACCAUGACGUAUCUGAAAUAGUAGUAAUUAGUGAAAUAAAAAGACUUAUACAAACCAUCGAAGUAAUUCCAUCUCCUACGGUCCAAAGAUGAAAAUCUUUGUAAUAUUCUGAACCAUUCAUGAACAUCACAGCAAAAAUGAUUAAAACAUUUAUAGCUCCUACGUAAAUAAGUAGCUGCGCAGCAGCUACAAAAUAGGAGUUAGAUAGAAUAUAGAAUAACGAUGUACAAAAAAGAACCAACCCCAAGGAAAAGGCAGAAUAAAUUGGAUUGGGAAGUAAUACCACUCCUAGACCCCCUAAUAUAAGACCCGAUCCUAGAAAGACUAAAAGAAAAUCAUGUAUUGGUUCAGAUAAAUCCAUUUUUUAUAAAAAAUCAAAAACGAAGAAUUUCAUGACUUUAUUGACCUGACCAGGAAAAAAGAAGUUUUUCUAUUUUUUAUGAUACUUUUAAAUUGUUAAUUGAAUGAAAUUGUAAUGGGUAUGAAUUGACGUAGAUGUUUUUAUUUUAUUGGACCACUAUCAAUUCUUUAUUCGUCGAAAGAGUAGUUUAAACCUAUCUAUUUUUGAUAUCAUUUAUCUACUUUAAAACCAUUACUAUUAUAAUAUAGAAAUCCGUUUUGUUUUCAAUCUAAAUUAAGCUAGGAGUCUCAUUAAGCAACCACUAGUUUGAAUUGACCAAGCAAAAAUCUCAUUCUUUUAGAUACGAACUAAGCCUUCGUAAUUCGUAAUUUUUUUCGAAUCAAAUUAGGGAUUUAUUCAUUGUUUAUUUGAAGUAAAUUCGAAACUGUUCGAAUUGUGUAAUCAUCAAUUACUGACAUUGGUAAGCGACCCAAAGCGAUUUGAUUAUAAUUCAAUUCGUGACGAUCAUAAGUAGAAAGUUCAUAUUCUUCGGUCAUUGAUAAACAAUUUGUUGGGCAAUACUCAACGCAAUUACCACAAAAUAUACAGAUUCCAAAAUCAAUACUGUAAUUAAGCAAUCGUUUCUUUCGAAUAUCAGUUUCCAACUUCCAAUCAACAACGGGUAAAUCUAUAGGACAUACACGCACACAUACUUCACAAGCAAUGCAUUUAUCAAAUUCAAAGUGUAUUCGGCCUCGGAAACGUUCCGGUGUGAUCAAUUUUUCGUAGGGGUAUUGAAUAGUUACAGGUAAACGAUUUGCGUGGGACAGGGUAAUCAUGAAACCUUGGCCGAUGUAUCUGGCGGCUCGUAUUGUUUGUUGACCAUAAUUUAUGAAUUCAGUUAUCAUAGGGAGCAUAUUUAGAAUAUCUAUAAAAAACAUUUUAUGCUUGUUUCUUUCUCUUGUUUGAGACAAGUCGUGAAUCUAGAAUAUUGUGGUCUUUUACAGUGAAAGAAGUUGGGACGAGGUUGUCAAUAAUAGAUUACCUAGAGAAAUAGGUAAAAGAAAUUUCCACCCAAGAUUUAAUAGUUGGUCCAUUCUCAGCCUCGGUAAAGUCCAUCUUGUUGCAAUAGGAAUGAACAAAAACAAAUAAGUUUUGGCUAAUGUGAUAAAGAUACCAAUUAGUGUUCCAAAGACUUUACCCCUUUUAUUUAUGCCAAAUAGCUCAGGAACAAAUAUGUACGGAAUAGAAAGAUUCCAACCUCCCAAGUAAAGAACUGUUACAAAUAAUGAAGAAACUAGUAGAUUCAGAUAUGAAGCAAUGUAAAAUAAACCAAAUUUGAUACCUGAAUAUUCGGUUUGAUACCCUGCUACUAAUUCUUCUUCUGCUUCUGGUAAAUCAAAAGGUAAUCUUUCACACUCGGCUAGAGAAGAAAUUAGAAAAACGAUAAACCCGAUGGGUUGACGCCACAAAUUCCACCCCCAAAAACCAUAUUUUGACUGCGCUUCCACUAUAUCAACUGUACUUGAACUGUUAGAUAAUCAUAGUCGAUGAUAACAUCACUGUGCCCAUCGCUAUUACAGAACCGUACGUGAGAUUUUCACCUCAUACGGCUCCUCAGAGGUCACAAAUAAAUCUAAGGGCCCUUUCCUACUCUUUAUCUUGAUAUGUUUGUCAGAUAGAGUCAAAAUCUAUCCUAAGGUCCUAAAUUAGACCAAUGGAAUUCUGUCUGCUAUAUUUAAAACUAAUAAAUAAGUGCUUCUGAAUUGAUCUCAUCUUUUAAGAAUUUUAAUUUUUCUUUGUUGAUUAAUAACCUUAUCAUUAAAUAAAAUGCGCUUUAUAGCAAUAUCCUAUAUACAUUUCAACUUCGAAUUUUCAAUUACGAAAAAAAUUAGAGAGUCCAUUAGUUCAUGAAUCAUGACAAAAAUUUUCUCUCUCUAAAUCGAAAUAAAAAUUUAAUUAUAGGAAAGAAAGAAUAAAAAAAAAAAAGACAUCCCCCCUUUUUGCUUUUGCAAUUUGAUUCUUUUCUUUCUAUUUCGAUUUAUUUUAUUUCAUUCCUAUUCUCCUUUCUCAGAAAAAGGGCCUUUCUUUAACCAAAGUAAAAGAUUACUUCGUUCUUGAUAGUUAUUUACUUACUAAGUGGAUAGGAACAUACUCUGGAUCAGAAUCAUGGGGAGUACUUCUUGAUCAUUUCUACGAACGCAAAGCCCCAAUUCGAAUUCCUUUUAUGUACAGAAAUAUCCUCUUGGAUAACUUCCAUAAUCUCAAUUACUAAUCCUUUGUGUAUCUUGGUCUUCCUAACCAUCCACUCAUUUUUGCUUUCAACCUCUCGUUGUGGAAAUCCAUCUAUGGUAAUAGACAGUAAAAACCCCAUAAAGUUGAUACAGUUGAUCUUUUGAACCCGCUUCAAGCUAUCAUGACAAUUCAUCAAUCUUGGGGUAAACAAUCUCUCUUGCGUAUGUUUACUUUUUUCACCAUUUGAUUCUUGUACAUAGGAAAUGAGACUCAACCUUUUUACUGCAAAUUUAGAAGCCGUUUUCUUUCACUCAUAUAACUAUCUGGUUUAGUUCAUCAACUCAAAUGCUGAAGAAAAAUUAAAAUAUAAAAUAUAUAUAGUCAAUCAAAUCUUUUUAUCCUUGUUUCUAGAGUUUCUAGAAAGAAAAGAAUUUGGAGAAAUUUUAGGUCUCACCGAAUCACACGUAGAGAUAUUGAUAACACACAUAGAGCUAAUGGUAUUUCAUAACUAAUUGAUUGGGCAGCUGCCCGUAAACCACCUAAAAAGGAAUAUUUAUUAUUUGAUCCAUAUCCCGACAUAAGAAGUCCAACGGGAGCAAUACUUGAAAUGGCAAUCCAUAAAAAAACACCAAUACUAAGAUCGGCUAGAACAAGGUGAUCGCUAAAAGGAAUUACUGAAUAACUUAGAAAGAUAGAUAUUACUGCUAUGGAUGGUCCGAUACUGAAUAAACGAGUAUCUCCUGUAGAUGGAAUAAGGUUCUCUUUCAAAAGUAGUUUUGUCCCAUCUGCUAAAGCUUGAAGAAUUCCUAAAGGGCCGGCAUAUUCAGGUCCGAUACGUUGUUGUAUUCCCGCAGAUAUUUCUCUUUCUAACCAAACAAUUACUAGUACACCUAUUGUGAUUCCUAACACAAGAGUCAAAAUAGGGACAAGCAUCCAUAUGAUCCCAUAGGCUUCUUUUAAGGAUUCCAAUUUGGAAAAAGAAUUGAUAGUCUCUAUUUCUGUUGUAUCAAUUAUCAUUUCAACGAUCAACUUCUCCCAUAAUGAUAUCUAUGCUACCUAGUAUUGUCAUAAUAUCAGCCAAUUUCAUUCUUUUAACUAACUGAGGAAGAAUUUGCAAAUUGAUAAAACCUGGUGGGCGAAUUUUCCAUCUCCAAGGAAAAACGCUCUGAUCUCCUAUGAUAAAAAUUCCCAAUUCUCCUUUUGGGGCUUCAACUCUCACAUAAAGUUCUUGUUUCGACAAUUCAAAAGUUGGAGAAGGUUUUUUACUAAUAAACCGAUAUUCAAAAUCAUUCCAUUCAGGAUCUUUUAAUCUGUCAAAACGUCGGAUUUCUAAAUUUUCGUAAGGCCCUCCUGGAAUUCCUUCCAGAGCCUGUUGAAUAAUCUUUAUGGAUUCUGUCAUUUCACCGAUUCGUACUAAAUAACGAGCUAAUGAAUCCCCUUCUCGUUGCCAUUGAACCUGCCAAUCAAAUUCGUCGUAAGACUCAUAAUGAUCAACUUUACGAAGAUCCCAUUCUAUUCCGGAAGCUCGUAGCAUUGGUCCCGAUAAACCCCAAUUUAAUGCCUCGUCUUGCCCAAUAAUGCCUAUGCCUUCAACUCGUUCUAAAAAAAUAGGAUUCCGGGUAAUAAGUUUUUGAUACUCAGCAACCCCUGUUAAAAAAUAAUCGCAAAAAUCCAAACAUUUAUCUACCCAGCCAUAGGGUAGAUCGGCAGCCACUCCUCCAAUACGAAAAUAAUUAUGCAUCAUUCGCAUACCGGUAGCAGCUUCGAAUAGGUCAUAUAUCAAUUCUCUUUCGGGAAAAAUAUAGAAGAAGGGGGUCUGCCACCAAAUACCCGCAAUAAAAGGACCGAGCCAUAACAAAUGAGAAGCGAUCCGACUCAACUCCAACAUAAUGACUCUGAUAUAGCUAGCCCUUUUAGGUACUUGAAUAUUGCCUAAUUGUUCGGGUCCAUUUAUGGUUAUUGCUUCUGUGAACAUAGUAGCUAAAUAAUCCCAACGUGUUACAUAAGGUAAAUAUUGUAUAAUUGUUCGGUUUUCCGCAAUUUUCUCCAUCCCUCUAUGUAAAUAACCCAAUAUUGGUUCGCAGUCGACAACAUCUUCACCAUCUAGAGUAACGAUGAGUCGAAGAACACCGUGCAUUGAUGGGUGCUGAGGCCCCAUAUUGACUAUCAUGAGGUCUUUUCUUGUAGUUGGUGCAGUCAUAAGUUUUUUAACGAUUCAUUCUUCCAUGAAUUACUGAAAGUGAAAAGAAGUUCAUCAAAAUUUAAUCGAAACAUAUAAGUGAAAACGAAAUGACUCUUCAAAUUAAUCAAAUUAACGAGUUUUUGUCUCUCGAAUGUCCAACUGAUUAAUUAAUUCUUUAUAACGUACUCUAUUUUUUUUUGCCAAAUAAGCUAGCAGUCGUUGACGUUUUCCCAAAAUUUUCUUCAAACCUCUCUGAGAUAAAUAGUCUUUUUUGUGCAAUUCUAAAUGUGAAGUAAGUCUCCGUAUCUUAUUGGUGAAAUUGAAUACUUGAAAUUCAACAGAUCCUCUCUUUUCUUCUUGAGAAAUAACUGAAAUGACAGAAUUUUUUACCAUAAAUGAAUUUCCCCUUUCUUUAUUUUACAGAUAUGGAUUUUAUCGAAUUUUAUCGAUCAGUAAUAAUAAUGCCAGUAAUUUGAACGUGGUAUAUAGACUUAAUUUCUUUAUGAACCCCUAAUUUUAUCAAUUCCAAUAAAUUAAUCAAAUUUAAAAUUUGAUUCAGAUAGGAAUCCAAAAAGAAAAAGUUGGUAGGUACGUUUUUUUCAUUCACAAAAGCGAAUAAUUUAAACCUAAAAUCCGAAAAUGAAGAAGAUUCCGUUGAUUCAUUUCUAGAUCUAAUCGAUACCUUAUUGAUUUAGUAUCGUCUACUCGAAUUAGAUUCGAAUGAGAUGUAAGACAAGGCAUGUGUGCAUUUGUUUUCUUUCAGAUACUCUAUACGAGACAGGGUAUAUAGUAAUAUCAAUUAAUUUUCAAUCGUGGAUACAUAUGUAUCCUUAAGAUACUGAAACGGCUACCAUUGUUGGUAUCAAACCAAUAACGAUUCAUACAAGCUAAAUCUUCUAAUCGAUAAUUAGGCCAAAGAAAGAACUUUAAUUUAAUUAAUUCAUUUUUAUCUUUAUAAAGAGGUUUCCUUUCAUCCAAAAAUUUACUCCAGUUUUUUACAUUAGUUUCAUUGGAAAAUACUGAAUUUCUAUCGACGCCAUUCCAAUUCAAAGAAUUAAAAAAACUUCGAAUUCUCAAUUCUCUACGACGUCUAGACCAUAAAAUAUUUUCAGGAACAAGCAAAUCAAAAUGAUUUUUAUCAACAUAUCUUUGGUCUCGGUAUCUUUGAUUAGUUUGGUGUUUACUUUUAUGAACCAAUGAAAUACCUACGGUUUGAUACAUAAUAAAUUGUCCAUUAUUUUUUACAGACAAUCGAAUAGGUUCGAUAAUCAAUAACCCCUUCUUCAUCAAUUCUGUAAGAGGUAAAUUCGCCUGAAUCAGCAUUAUAUCCAAACUCAUUUCUCUCCUUUGAAUUGACGAUAUAGCAAUUUUGUUUGGGUUUAUCAGUCGAAGCAGGAGACAAUAUACCUUUACAUUUUCGAUUAUUCUUUGAUUCAAAGUAUCGUUCCAUCUCAAUUGAAAAAGCAAAUAACGUUUCAAGAACAAAUCUAGUUCUGCUUCCGUGUUGCUUUUGUAUUGUUUUUUAUUUUUACCCUUCUUUGUGUUUGAUUCCGCGUAAUCUUUUUCAAGAUCGUUUUGAUGUUUUGAGAAAACAGGGCCCAGAUUUCCUUUGUUUUCUAUAUCUGAUCCACGCUCUCUUUUUCCUUGACUUGCGGGUUCUUUUGCUUCUUGAAUUCGAUUCUUUAUUUUUUUAUUUGAUGGUAGAAAAAAGUUUUUUUUGUUGUUUUUAUUGAUAUUUUGAUUUUUACUAACAUUUUCAUUUGUAUUCAAAUUUAAAAGAAGUAAUUUGCUUGGUAUAAUCCACGGUUUUAUUUUAUAUACAUUAUAAAGUAGUACAAAUUCUGGGAAGAACCAAAAUUCCAUAUCCAAUAUGGGACGAUUAAAUAUUUUUUCAUUCAUUCCCAUCCAAUCAAAAAAGUCUUUUUUCGAAUUUUUUUUAGUUUUUUCUGGAUUUUGAUGAGUUGUAAGAUAAAAAAGUCCUUUUUUAUUAAUUAUUUCAUAAUUAUUAAUACCAAUUUUAGUAUUUCGAUUACUGUUGGUAUCGAUCUUAACCCAGGCCUCAAUAUCUCCUUUUUGUCUAACAGAAAAAUGGAGAAUUUUCCAAUCAAAAUAUUUUCUAUAUUUUCUAUCGAGAUUUCUUUCUAUAUGUAGAUGUAGAAGAUUGCCUUUUAUUAGAUAAUUAUUGAUAUGAAGAUUGUCGGGCAUAUCAAAAGGGUUGUGUUUGGGCGUGUUGGAAUUAUAAGAAAUUUCGAAGUUCUUAUUUACUUGAAAGGGUAAUCUAGAAAUAAAUGAGUAACUUUUAUUUUCAUAAUUAAUCGAUUUAUAUGAUAAAAGAUCAUAUCUAUAACAUUUUUUAAAAUUAUCUUUUUGGUUUGAUAAUGAAUAGAGUUCAGAAUCAUUUUCUUUUUUGUAAUGAAUUAAUUGGUCUUUUUCAUAUGAAUUCCAUUUGUUUAAGUUUCUAUUUUUAUUUUGAGCCAUACAACUUUGAUUAACCCCAGUUCUCCAUUUUUUUGGCAUUAAUCUAGACCAUCUAAUCUUAGAUAAAUCGUAUUGAUAAUGCCGUCUUAACCAGUUUUUCCAUUGAUUGAUUCUAUAACUCUGAGGUUUUUUAUGUUUUAAUUCAGAAUGAAAUAUUCCUAGUGUUCUAAAAUAGUCCUUUAUUUUAGUCUUAAGGAAAAAAGACGUUCUGUUAUAUUGAAGAACAGAUUUAAAUUUAGACAAAUUAAUAACUUGGGUUUGUGAUAAUUUGUAAAAUACAUAUGCUUGUGACAAGUAGGAUAAAUCAAAAAAACUAUGUGAAUUUUUCUUACUAAUAUUAUAAAUAUUAUAAAGUGACUUUUUUAUAGUCGAAAUAAAGAUAAAGUUAAUUUUGUUUUUAUUAUUAAUUUUUUCUUGAUUUAUUUCAUUAUUGGAAAUGUAUUUCUCAAUCAAUUUCUUUGUUGAUUUAAGACGGAGUUGUGUAUUAAUUCUUGUAAUAUUAAUGAUAGAUAAAAAUAGAUCGAUGUAUAAUCUUUGAAUGAAUAAUUUUCUAAAAUAAUGGAAUUGACAUAUUAAUCGAGUAUUUCUUUUUUUUAAUAUUUGGAAAAUAUUUUUUGGCGAUUUAGGACUAAUGUCUAUUUCUGGAGUUACUUUCUUUUUCUCUUUUGUAAUUCUUUCUAUUUGAUUUUUUAUUGUACUUGUUCUAUCAGUCAAAUCCUUCAUUUUGGUUUCUAUCAGUGAAGAAUUUGGCCAAUUUCCAGAUUCAAUUUGACUAAAUGAUUCGUUAAUUAUUUGAUUACUAAUUAGAUAAUCUUUUUCUUUUUUCGUUUCAUUCGAUUCAGAUAUUUCUUUGAAUCUAAAUAAUACAAUUGGAUUUAUGUUUGAAAGUUCUUUUUUUAUUUUUUUUAGAAAUAGAAUAUUUUUUAUAAGCCAUUUUUUGGUUUCUUUUGAAACUCUUCGAAAUAAUUUUGUUUUUCCUUUUAAAACUUUUCGAGUUAUAGUUAUAAAAGUUAUAAAAUAUUUCUUUUUAAAUUUUCCAAUUUUUUUUUCGAGUUCCUUAAAAAUGGGCUCAAAAAAGGAAGGGCGCUUUCGGGGAGAACCAAAGGGAAGUUCAGCUUCCAUUCCCAAAACUGUUAAAAAACAAAAAUCAUCUUUUUGUUUUUUCUUUUUCAUCAGCUCUACGCGGGAGGGGUGCAGUUUAGAUAUAUGCCAAGGUUUCAGACAAAAAGGAAAUAAAAUUUUGAUCUGAAUCCCAUCGCUCAACCAAUUUUGUGGAAAUUCUGUUUCUGAUAAUUGAACACCAUUAUAAGUACAUUUAAUAUGCAUUUCUCUAUUCCAUUCCUGCAAAUCCUCAGACCAUUCAGGAAGUUGCAAGAAUAACAUACGCCCGAGAUUUUUGGCUAUUAUCAAUGAAGGUAAUACAACAUAUUUUCGAAGAAUUGAUUGAGUUAUUAACAUGUAACCUCUUAUUAUUUGUGCACAAAGAAUGUUAUCCCAGGCUUCUGCUACCGCUAGCCAUGAUUUUUCCUUUCUGGUGUUCUCCUUUUUUUGUCCUUUUCUUUUUUCUCUUCUCUUUUUGUUUGUUCUUCUUUAGACUCUAGAAUCUUUAAUUCUCCCUCUUUACCUGUUAAAUUUCGAAAAAUUGGUUUAAUUAUUCUAGAGAUAUCAAAAGAAAAANNNNNNNNNNNNNNNNNNNNNNNNNNNNNNNNNNNNNNNNNNNNNNNNNNNNNNNNNNNNNNNNNNNNNNNNNNNNNNNNNNNNNNNNNNNNNNNNNNNNNNNNNNNNNNNNNNNNNNNNNNNNNNNNNNNNNNNNNNNNNNNNNNNNNNNNNNNNNNNNNNNNNNNNNNNNNNNNNNNUCUCCCACUUUACCUGUCCAAUUUCGAAAAAUUGGUUUAAUCAGUCCAGAGAGCUCAAAAGAAAAAAGACGGGGGGGGGUUAUUCUGUCUAUAAAAAGGGGGACUACGUAUUUGCUUGAAGUAGUUUCCAACUAACUGUUUUUCGCCUUUGAGCCCUCAUAGAGCCUGUAAUUAUACCUCGUCGAAAAUCAAAUUGUUGCGAAUAGAUUAUUAAAGGCACUUCCUUGUUGGUGUCAUCAGGAUCCUUCUUUUCGUUGUUGGCAGUAAAAAUAACUACACAUUUGAAUUUUCUUAAACGAAUUUGAUAAUCUACUGAUAAGCCAUCUUCAAAUUUACCCAAUUAUUGGUCCAAUUAGGUGAUUAAUUUACAUGCCUAGCGAUGUUUUUUUUACUGAUUUUAUUUAUUCCAUUUGAUAUGUUUCCAGAUUUUGUCUCAUUAGGAUCAAUUUCAUUGAAUACAAAUUUUAAAAAUUUAGUUCUUUUUUCUCAAUUCGUUCUUACCUGUUCUUGGUCUGAAAAGAAAGAAGGGUCUUUCAAAUUUAAACUCGAUUUUGGUUCGUUACCAAAUUCAUUGAUUAAAUUUAAGAACUCAUCAAUUUCUGUUGAUAAUGGUUUUUUAUCAAUCGUAUCCACUUUUUGUUCAAAUUCUUAGUAAUCAGUAUUUGGAAGAAAGAUAGUAUGAAUCCUCUUUAGUCUAACUCUCUCUUUCAAAUUUUCUAUUUGUAUUAGGACUCUUUACUUUGUUUGUUGGAUCGAUAGGAAUUCCUUUCAACCAAGAUGGAGUUAAUUUGGAUAUAUUAUCGAAAUGGUUAGCUCCAUCUAUAAAUCUUUUGCAUCAAAAGUCGAAUAAUUCGAUGGAUUGGAAUGAAUUUUUAAAGGAUGCGGUUCUUUCAGUCAGUAUAGCUUAUUUCGGAAUAUUUAUAGCAUCCUUUUUAUAUAAACCCAUUUAUUCUUCUUUAAAAAAUUUGGAGUUAAUUAAUUUUUUUGUUAAAAAGGGUCCUAAGAGAAUUCUGUGGGACAAAAUUAUAAAUGGCAUAUAUGAUUGGUCAUAUAAUCGUGCUUACAUAGAUGCUUUUUAUACAAGAUUCUUAGUUGGUGGGAUAAGAGGCUUAGCUGAAUUUACUCAUUUUUUUGAUCGACGAGUAAUUGAUGGGAUGACUAACGGGGUUGGGGUUAUUAGUUUCAUUGUAGGAGAAGGUAUCAAAUAUAUAGGGGGCGGACGCAUCUCUUCUUAUCUCUUCUUGUAUUUAGCUUAUGUUUCCGUCUUUUUAUUAGUUUAUUACUUACUUUUUUCUACUUUUUGAUUUUUGAAUCAAAUUCAGAUAAGAAUCUUUUUUAUCAUAAAUUUCACAAUUACUAGUAUUACUAUUUUUAUAGCCUCUCUCUGUAAGGUGAGAGUGGAAUUUAUCCUUUAUUUUGUCCUUUCCGUUCACUCGAAUUUCUUCUAAUUCAUCAAUUUUGUCUGGAUCCGACCCUUCUUCCAAAAAAGGGGAAGGAGAAGGAUAAGGAUCUUCUACAGUGGAUCCCUCUUUAAAAAGGGAAGGAGAAGGAUAAGGAUCUUCUUCAGUGGAACCCUCUUGUUCCUAUUUAGUCCCCUUCAUUUUGAAAGCAGUUUCUACAUCUCUUUCUUCCUCUUUUUCCUCCCUUUCUUCUGUUUUUGAGACGUCUUUCAGUUUCUUAGCUUCUUUCAGUUUCUUAGUAAGAAUGGGUAAGGGUAUUAUGCCUAAAUAGUAGACACAGGUAAUAAAUAAGAGAGUACUAAAGAUCCGAGCCAUAGAAUUUCUCAAUUCUAACACAAGGUACUUAUUAGAUCAAAUGUACUUAUUCGAUCUAAUAGAAUGAUUUUGCCAUAUCUAGACUAAUACCAAUCCAAGCCAUUUCAUGAAUAAAAUGUGACCAAUUAACCAACCAACAAAACCACUUGUUACAAAUAAGAUCUUGUUGUUGCAUCGAAAGAGAUAAAUGUUGACUAAUCUGGCUAACAUUGAACUUGGUAAAAUGAAAUGGUUGAAUAAUUGAAAAAUGAGAUUAUUCAGGAAUACACAUUAAAUGCUGAGAUUACGCAUUGAAUUUCUGGUAGUAGAUCCAUAAUCAAUAAAGUAUUUGUGAUUGUUCCAGAAGAAAUGAAACAAAAGAUAUGGUAGAGCUAAGACAGUUAUUGUAUGAUGUCUACCCAAUGCUAGAUGCAGAGGCACAUAAUAGAUCAAUAUGAACAUCAUGAGCUAUCCCGUAAUAAAACCAGUUAUUGCUGAUACCUUUUUCUCAAUUCCUUCUUCCAUAACCAAAGCUCGGAGAAGGAAGAGAUAAGAGGGCCCUAUGGAGAAUGUGGUCAGAAAUCCAUAAUAGAGUUCGACUACAAUGACCGAAUUAAUUAUCUUCAUGCAUAAGGAUACUAGAUUACCAGUAAAAAAGAUUGAAAAAUCAUCACAAACCUCCCUUAUUUCUUUUUCUAUUGCAAUUUCUGGAUUAUUAUAUGAUGAUUUUUACACUUUCCAUAUAUAGAAAAGGAAUAGAAAGAGAUAAACUAGAAAUGACAUCUGUUAUGUCAAUGAUACCAAUGGGAUAUUAAAUGAAUGGAAUUGGGAUAUGGAUGGAAUAUAAUGAAAUAGAGCCACUUUGAGGUUCCCUCUGAAAUGAGGCAUGUAAGGGAGCCACUACGAAGAAGUUUUGAGAGUUACGAAGGAAGCUUCGAGAUCAUAUUAGUCAUGGUUUGGGAACAGGAAUUGAACUCUAUGAGAUCAAAUCUCCAGUUGUUCCUCAGUAGAUCAGUGGUAGAGCGGUCGGCUGUUAACCGAUUGGUCGUAGGUUCGAAUCCUACUUGGGGAGAUUUGAUCUAUUCUAAAUUAAAGAAUUCAGAAUAAAGGGGCUCGCUUUGGCUAUUAACAGUAGGUAACUCAUUCCCUGUCUUUGUUUGUAUUGCAUUCUAUCUCAUUGUAUCACAUUCUGUUGUGCGAUAUUAGAAAAUCACCAUUAAUACCUCAGUCUAAGUCCGACAUAAUCCCUUGUUCCAUAGCCCUAGGGUGGGGCUAUUUACAACUAGCCAAUUAAGAAGUCUCAUAUUUACUAGCACUGCAUCUUUGAUGCAGUCAUCGAUUCUCUCGAGAGGUCACAAUUGCUGUGAGCAAAGAUAUCAAUGACAAGGAAGGCUUUUUUGUUAUGCUACUAAUACUUGCUCUGCUAUUCUACCCAAGCCUGGUUGAGGAAGAGUUACGGGGCGUAAAAUAAAAAAAUAUGCCGAUCGGGCAUACUAUGUGUAAUGAUUCCCCCAUUCACUAUAAAUAAAAGGAGAAAAAGAAAAGCCAUUCCAUUUCGACAAAAGACCCACACCUAAGUUCCAUAGCUUUUAGUUCACUAUCCCAAUCAUGAUUUUUCUACCCCCAGAGGAAAAGGUACUUCCCUUUUGGGUCGGUUGUGGGCGGGAGGGAUUCGAACCCCCAACACCGUGGUUCGUAGCCACGUGCUCUAAUCCUCUAAGCUACAGGCCCCACCUCGUGUCCACUGGAUCUGUUCUCGGGAGCACCCUAAAAAAAGGAACCUUUUCUCUCCCCAGCCAUUUCGGGUUAAGUAGAUAUGAAAGAGCAUUUAUCUCUAUAAGAAGGGUGCGCUCCGAGGUGUCAAGUGGGAGAGAAGGGAUGUCACAAUUAGGGUUUUGAAUAAAAUGACCUUUUGAUUUUUCUUUUGAUUUUUCAAUUUUUUUUAUUUUCAUAUUGAAUAAGAAUGAGAGGUGUUAAGCUUUUUAUCAUCCUGGCAUUGAGCUAUUUUUCCAUAGGACCUCCCUUACAGCAUCGUCACUGCAUUAGAGUUUAACCACCAAGUUUGGGAUGGAUUGGUGUGGUUCAUCUACGCCUAGGACACCAGAAUAUCAAACCAUGAACGAAGAAAGGCAUAAGAGAAAAACAUAUUGGCUAGUGAUUAUGAGGCCCCAAUUCUUGAUUGGAGGGUACACCAAAGGCCUUUUCUCUUCUAUCCCUUGGAUAGAUAGAGAGGGGGGCAGAGCUUUUGGUUUCUUCAUGUUGUCAAAGAUUUGAACAAUGAAAAUAGAUGGCGAGUGCCUGAUCAAAUUGAUCAGGUCAUGUAGGAACAAGGUUCAAGUCUACCGAUCUGUUAGGAUGCCUCAGCUGCAUACAUCACUGCACUUUCACUUGACACCUAUCGUAAUGAUAAAUAGCUCGUCUCGCCGUGAACUUCUCAUGAAUUCGCAAAAAAACUUCUAUCGCUCCAUCCCCACAGGGGCAGAGAACCCGUCGCUGUCUCGGCUGUGCUACCGGAAGCUCUGGGGAAGUCGGAAUAAUAAAGCACUCAUCUUGGGGUGGGC